rnacentral:rRNA from 1 species
GAAGAGAGAAUGCCGGUGUGAGUAGCGGAACGUGGGUGAGAAUCCCACGCACCGAAAACCCAAGGUUUCCAGAGGAAGGUUCGUCCGCUCUGGGUAAGUCGGGACCUAAGGCGAGGCCGAAAGGCGUAGUCGAUGGACAACAGGUAGAGAUUCCUGUACCCGUAUAUAUGUGAAGGAAUGACGGAGAGAGGAAGCUGCAGCCAGCGGCUGGAAGAGCUGGUGCAAGCGAGAUAUCGGGAUGGCAGGCAAAUCCACCAUCCGAAACGAGAAGGCGUGAAGCGUACGGAAAGCUACGGCGAGUACGGAAGGCAGUGGAGGAACUUCCAAGAAAAGUUUCUAACGUAAAGUAUAUAUGGCCCGUACCGAAAAUGGACACACAUGGGUGAGGAGAGAAUCCUAAGGUGAGCGAGAGAACUAUAGCUAAGGAACUCUGCAAAAUGACUCCGUAACUUAGGGAGAAGGAGUGCUCAUAGAGAUAUGAGCCGCAGUGAAACGGCCCAAGCGACUGUUUACCAAAAACACAGCUCUCUGCUAAGCCGCAAGGCGAAGUAUAGGGGGUGACGCCUGCCCGGUGCUGGAAGGUUAAGGGGAGGGGUUAACGCAAGUGAAGCCCUGAACUGAAGCCCCAGUAAACGGCGGCCGUAACUAUAACGGUCCUAAGGUAGCGAAAUUCCUUGUCAGGUAAGUUCUGACCCGCACGAAAGGCGUAACGAUUUGGGCGCUGUCUCAGCUGUAGACUCGGUGAAGUCUUAGUACCUGUGAAGAUGCAGGUUACCCGCGACUAGACGGAAAGACCCCAUGGAGCUUCACUGCAGGUUGAUAUUGGGAUUUGAUGCAGCAUGUACAGGAUAGGUAGGAGGCAAAGAGAUGGAUACGCCAGUAUUCAAGGAGCCGCUGUUGGGAUACCACCCCUGUUGUAUUGGAUUUCUAACCGGACGACGUAGAACCGUUGACGGGACAGUGUCAGUCGGGCAGUUUGACUGGGGCGGUCGCCUCCCAAAGAGUAACGGAGGCGCCCAAAGAUACCCUCAGCUUGGAUGGAAACCAAGCGCAGAGUGCAAAGGCAAAAGGGUGUUUGACUGCGAGACCCACAAGUCGAGCAGGGACGAAAGUCGG